AUGACCAUAUUACAUUUAAACACCAGUUCUUGUACGAUCACCGAGGUUAAGCAAUGCCAAGCCUGGUCAGUACCUAGAUGGGUUACCAUUUGGGAAUACCAGGUGCUGUAAG